UGAUGAAACUGACAAAGGCGAGAGCGCGCAGCAGCCCACAGCAGCCGAGUUCGCGCCGCCGGUGGCUGGACUCAGACACAUCACGCUCCAGUUUGGGUUCCAAGGUGCUUCUCUCUGGAUUUUCACCUGCCUUGCCAAAAAUGAUUGAUUACGCUGGGCCAACUGGGUGUCCGGCAAUACCCAACAAAUGACUUUGGCCCCUAACAGCAGGUCUUGGCCAGACAGAAAUCAAUAUUUCACCAUUAAAAUCUAUCAAAGAAGAGUUAAGGCACCAUCUGUCCCUGCCGCCUCUCUAUGGUGUGUGAACAUUAAAUCCGACACUUGUACUACAUGGGUAAUCAAUAUAUAGUGGUUCACAGAUCAUUUGUGGUUCCCUUUUAGCAGUGAUGGAUGUCUGGAAUCGUUGUGAUUCAUUUUGUCAGACCAUUAAACAAGAUUCUGUCCAGUUCCUUCCUG
rnacentral:lncRNA from 1 species